rnacentral:rRNA from 1 species
GAUGAACGCUAGCUACAGGCUUAACACAUGCAAGUCGAGGGGCAGCAUGGUCUUAGCUUGCUAAGGCCGAUGGCGACCGGCGCACGGGUGAGUAACACGUAUCCAACCUGCCGUCUACUCUUGGACAGCCUUCUGGAAAGGAAGAUUAAUACAAGAUGGCAUCAUGAGUCCGCAUGUUCACAUGAUUAAAGGUAUCCCGGUAGACGAUGGGGAUGCGUUCCAUUAGAUAGUAGGCGGGGUAACGGCCCACCAAGCCUUCGAUGGAUAGGGGUUCUGAGAGGAACGGUCCCCCACAUUGGAACUGAGACACGGUCCAA